rnacentral:rRNA from 1 species
UACGUAGGGGGCAAGCGUUGUCCGGAAUUAUUGGGCGUAAAGAGCGCGUAGGCGGUCCGAUAAGUCGGCUGUGAAAGUCAGGGGCUCAACCCUUGGAAGCCGGCCGAUACUGUCGGACUAGAGUCCGGAAGAGGAGAGUGGAAUUCCUGGUGUAGCGGUGAAAUGCGCAGAUAUCAGGAGGAACACCCGUGGCGAAAGCGGCUCUCUGGGACGGUACUGACGCUGAGACGCGAAAGCGUGGGGAGCAAACAGG